CUGGUGUGUAGACAAGAAUUAAUAGAAAUGGCAGGCUGGAGAACAAAAAAUAAACUUGCAGUUCGAUGGAAAUAGAGAUACAGAAGCAUUAGGCCUUGAAGAAAAGACUGACUGUGAUGGGACUAGAGGUUUUCUACAUAGGGUCCAGAACUCUUAUUACAUCCAACUUAAAAGGCUAUAUGUUGGUAAUUUGCGUGCACAACACAUUGGUUUGACUUAAAAAGAUUAUAUUAGACUAUACAGUUUCAUGAAUGUAUUUCAUAUUACAGCUUACUGCAACAUUAUUUCUGUCUUUUGUUU